UAUCAAAUGACGUAUCCUUAUUCCCCUUGCCACAAAGGUGAAUGAUUUGAUAAUUUUCGAGCAAUGUCGGCAAGUUGCUUCGAAGCGCAUCAUUUAUUACGACAGAACCUAAGCUGCCCCCCAUAACAAGAAGUACCUUUUUAUCCGAAGUAAAAU
rnacentral:ncRNA from 1 species